rnacentral:tRNA from 1 species
UGGGCUAUAGCCAAGCGGUAAGGCAACGGACUUUGACUCCGUAACUCGUUGGUUCGAAUCCAGCUAGCCCAGCCA